rnacentral:rRNA from 1 species
AACGAACGCUGGCGGCAUGCCUAACACAUGCAAGUCGAACGAAGCCUUCGGGCUUAGUGGCGCACGGGUGCGUAACGCGUGGGAAUCUGCCCUUGGGUUCGGAAUAACAGUUAGAAAUGACUGCUAAUACCGGAUGAUGUCUUCGGACCAAAGAUUUAUCGCCCAAGGAUGAGCCCGCGUAGGAUUAGGUAGUUGGUGGGGUAAGGGCCCACCCAGCCGACGAUCCUUAGCUGGUCUGAGAGGAUGAUCAGCCACACUGGGACUGAGACACGGCCCAGACUCCUACGGGAGGCAGCAGUGGGGAAUAUUGGACAAUGGGCGAAAGCCUGAUCCAGCAAUGCCGCGUGAGUGAUGAAGGCCUUAGGGUUGUAAAGCUCUUUUACCAGGGAUGAUAAUGACAGUACCUGGAGAAUAAGCUCCGGCUAACUCCGUGCCAGCAGCCGCCGUAA